CCUACGGGGCGCAGCAGUGAGGAAUAUUGGUCAAUGGACGAGAGUCUGAACCAGCCAAGUAGCGUGAAGGAUGACUGCCCUAUGGGUUGUAAACUUCUUUUAUAUGGGAAUAAAACGUUCCACGUGUGGGAUUUUGUAUGUACCAUAUGAAUAAGGAUCGGCUAACUCCGUGCCAGCAGCCGCGGUAAUACCGAGGAUCCGAGCGUUAUCCGGAUUUAUUGGGUUUAAAGGGAGCGUAGGUGGAUUGUUAAGUCAGUUGUGAAAGUUUGCGGCUCAACCGUAAAAUUGCAGUUGAAACUGGCAGUCUUGAGUACAGUAGAGGUGGGCGGAAUUCGUGGUGUAGCGGUGAAAUGCUUAGAUAUCACGAAGAACUCCGAUUGCGAAGGCAGUUCACUGGACUGCAACUGACACUGAGGCUCGAAAGUGUGGGUAUCAAACAGGAUUAGAUACCCGAGUAGUC
rnacentral:rRNA from 1 species